GAAGCUCCCCGCCUCCAUCCCAGGCUCCUAGGGCAGUGAAGCUCAGCUGGUCGCAGCACCCAGAGGGCAGCUCCCCGACUCCAUCCCAGGCUCCCAGGGCCAAGAAGGUGAGCAGGUCCCAGCACCCAGAGGAAUGCCACCAGCCUCCAUCCCAGGCUUCUAGGGCAAUGAAGCUCAGUCAGUCCCAGCACCCCAAAGAAAGCACCCCCGCUGCCAUCCCAAGCUCCUAGGGCCAAGAAGGUGACCUGGUCCUAGCACCUGGAGGGAAGCUCUCCAGCAUCCAUCCCAGGCUCCUAGGGCAGUGAGGCUCAGCUGGACCUACCACCUGGAAGGAAGCUCCCUGGCUGCCAUCCCAGGCUCCUAGGGCCAAGAACGUGAACCGGUCCCAGUACCCAGAUGGAAGCUCCCAGCCUCCAUCCCAGGCUCCUAGGGCAGUGAAGCUCAGCCGGUCCCAGCACCCAGAAGGAAGCACCCCUGCUGCCAUCCCAAGCUCCUGGUGUCAAGAAGGUGAGCCAGUCCUAGCACCUGGAGGGAAGCUCCCCAGCCUCCAUCCCAGGCUCCUAGGGCACUGAAGCCCAGCUUGUCCAAGGACCAGGAAGGAAGCUCCCCCACUACAUCCCAGACUCCUAGGGCCAAGAAGGUGAGCAGGUCCCAGCAACCAGAGUGAAGCUCCUAGUCUCCACCCCAGGCUAAGAGGGCAGUGAAGCUCAGCCAGUCCCAGCAGCCGGAAGGAAGCUCCCACCUGCCAUCCCAGGCUCCUGGUGCCAAGAAUGUGAGCAGGUCCCAGCACCAGGAAGGAAGCUCGCCCGCUGCCAUCCCAGAGUUCUAGGACCAAGAAUGUGAGCUGAUCCCAGCACGCAGAAGAAAGUUCCCCGCCUCCCCAGGCUCCUAGGGCAGUGAAGCUCAGCCUGUCCUUCACCAGGAAGGAAGUUCCGUGGCUGCCAUCCCUGGCUGCUAGGGUCAAGAAGGUGAGCUGGUUCCAGCACCAAAAGGGAAGCUCCUCUCCUCCAUCCCAGGAUCCCAGGACAGUGAAGCCCAGCUGGUCCCAGCAUGAGAAAGGAAGCUCCCCGCCUCCACCCCAGGCUCCUAGGGCAGUGAAACUCAGCUGGCCCCAGCACCCGGAAGGAAGAUCCCUGCCUCCAUCCCAGGCUCCUAGGGCCAAGAAGGGUCCUAGGACCAAGAAUGUGAGCUGAUCCCAGCAUGCAGAAGAAAGUUCCCUGCCUCCCCAGGCUCCUAGGGCAGUGAAGCUCAGCCUAUCUCUUACCAAGAAGGAAGCUCCCUGGCUGCCAUUCCAAGCUCCUAGGACCAAGAAGGUGAGCUUGUCCCAGCCCCAGGUGGGAAGCCCCCAGCCUCCAUCCCAGGCUCCUAGAGCAGUGAAGCUCAGCUGGUCCCAGCACCUGGAAAGAAGUUCCCCCGCUGCUAUUCCAGGCACCUAGGGCCAAGAAGGUGAGCCAGUCCCAGCACCAGAAGGGAAGCUCCACGUCACCAUAGCAGGCUCCUUGGGCAAUGAAACUCAGCCGGUCCCAGCACCCAGAAGGAAGCUCCCCAACUCCAUCCCAGGCUCCUAGGGCAUUGAAGCUCAGCCAGUCCCAGCAGCCGGAAGGAAACUCCCCAACUCCAUCCCAGGCUCCUAGGGCAGUGAAGCUCAGCCAGUCCCACCAUCUGGAAAGAAGCUCCCAUGGUCCUGUUCCAAGCUCCUAGGGCCAAGAUGAGCUGGUCCUAGCCCCUGGAGGGAAUCUCCCAGCUUCCAUCCCAGGCUCCUAGGGCAGUGAAGCCCAGCUUCUCCAAGGCAAAGGAAGGAAGCUCCCCCCCUCCAUCCCAGGCUCCUAGGGCACUGAAGCUCAGCUGGUCCCAGCACCCAGAAGGAAGCUCCACAACUUCAUCCCAGGCUCCUUGGGCCAAAAAGGCUCCUAGGGCAGUGAAACUCAGCUGGCCCCAGCACCCGGAAGGAAGAUCCCCGCCUCCAUCCCAGGCUCCUAGAACAGUGACGCUCAACAGGUCCUAGCACCCAGAAGGAAGCUACCCCACUGCCAACCCAGGCUCCUGGUGCCAAGAAGGUGAGCCGGUCCCAGCGCCAGAAGGGAAGCUCCUGUGAUGCCAUCCCAAGCUCCUAGGUCCAAGAAAGUGAGCCGGUCCUAGCACCGGGAGGGAAGCUCCCCAGCCUCCAUUCCAGGGUCCUAGGGCAGUGAAGCCCAGCUUGUCCAAGGAACAGGAAGGAAUCUCCCCCACUACAUCCCAGGCUCCUAGGGCCAAGAAGGUGAGCAGGUCCCAGCAAGCGAGUGAAACUCCUAGCCUCCACCCCAGGCUCCUAGGGCAGUGAAGCCCAGCUUCUCCAAGGAAAAGGAAGGAAGCUCCCCCCCUCCAUCCCAGGCUCCUAGGGCAGUGAAGCUCAGCAGGUGCCAGCACCUGGAAAGAAGCUCCCUGGCUGCCAUCCCAGGCUCCUAUGGACAAGAACGUGAACCGGUUCUAGUUCCCGGAGGAAAGCUCCCAGCCUCCAUCCCAGGCUCCCAGGGCAAUGAAGCUCAGCUGGUCCCAGCAGCUGGAAAGAAGCUCCCUGGCUGCCAUCCCUGGCUCCAGGGGCCAAGAAGGCUCCUAGGGCAGAGAAGCU